UACGAGGGGGGCGAGCGUUGUUCGGAAUUAUUGGGCGUAAAGGGUGCGUAGGCGGUUCCGCAAGUCCUGUGUGAAAUCUUCGGGCUCAACUCGAAGUCUGCACGGGAAACUGCGGGGCUUGAGUGUGGGAGAGGUGAGUGGAAUUCCCGGUGUAGCGGUGAAAUGCGUAGAUAUCUGCAGGAACACCCGUGGCGAAAGCGGCGCGCUGGACCACUACUGACGCUGAGGAACGAAAGCUAGGGGAGCAAACAGG
rnacentral:rRNA from 1 species